rnacentral:rRNA from 1 species
CCUACGGGCGGCAGCAGUGGGGAAUAUUGGACAAUGGGGGAAACCCUGAUCCAGCCAUGCCGCGUGUGUGAAGAAGGCCCUCGGGUUGUAAAGCACUUUCAGUGAGGAAGAACGCCUGGUGGUUAAUACCCAUCAGGAAAGACAUCACUCACAGAAGAAGCACCGGCUAACUCCGUGCCAGCAGCCGCGGUAAUACGGAGGGUGCGAGCGUUAAUCGGAAUUACUGGGCGUAAAGCGCGCGUAGGUGGCUUGAUAAGCCGGUUGUGAAAGCCCCGGGCUCAACCUGGGAACGGCAUCCGGAACUGUCAAGCUAGAGUGCAGGAGAGGAAGGUAGAAUUCCCGGUGUAGCGGUGAAAUGCGUAGAGAUCGGGAGGAAUACCAGUGGCGAAGGCGGCCUUCUGGACUGACACUGACACUGAGGUGCGAAAGCGUGGGUAGCAAACAGGAUUAGAUACCCGGGUAGUC